GGUCGUGUUCUUGAUGAGAAUCAUCGUGAGAUGAAUCAAGUUUUCUCAUCUCAUCAUGGCUUUCUUCUCUUCCAUGACCACUCCUCAAGAAAUCGUCCUUCUCCAUAUUAGUCUUCUUUGAUAAAUUUUUUAUUAGCUCUCAUGUUUUCUCUUGGGAACUGUUGAUUUCUAUAUAUGCAACCUAUACAUCCUUUGACUAUGCCAAUUAAACAAUUCACAAAAACAUGCAAGUCUCCU